rnacentral:rRNA from 1 species
GAGUUUGAUCCUGGCUCAGAUUGAACGCUGGCGGAAUGCUUUACACAUGCAAGUCGAACGGCAGCACGGGUGCUUGCACCUGGUGGCGAGUGGCGAACGGGUGAGUAAUGCGUCGGAACGUACCGAGUAAUGGGGGAUAACGCGGCGAAAGUCGCGCUAAUACCGCAUACGCCCUGAGGGGGAAAGUGGGGGAUCGCAAGACCUCACGUUAUUCGAGCGGCCGACGUCUGAUUAGCUAGUUGGUGGGGUAAAGGCCUACCAAGGCGACGAUCAGUAGCGGGUCUGAGAGGAUGAUCCGUCACACUGGGACUGAGACACGGCCCAGACUCCUACGGGAGGCAGCAGUGGGGAAUUUUGGACAAUGGGGGCAACCCUGAUCCAGCCAUUCCGCGUGAGUGAAGAAGGCCUUCGGGUUGUAAAGCUCUUUCAGCUGGAACGAAACGGUACGCUCUAACAUAGCGUGCUAAUGACGGUACCGGCAGAAGAAGCACCGGCUAACUACGUGCCAGCAGCCGCGGUAAUACGUAGGGUGCGAGCGUUAAUCGGAAUUACUGGGCGUAAAGCGUGCGCAGGCGGAUUGUUAAGCAAGACGUGAAAGCCCCGGGCUUAACCUGGGAAUGGCGUUUUGAACUGGCAGUCUAGAGUGCGUCAGAGGGGGGUGGAAUUCCACGUGUAGCAGUGAAAUGCGUAGAGAUGUGGAGGAACACCAAUGGCGAAGGCAGCCCCCUGGGAUGACACUGACGCUCAUGUACGAAAGCGUGGGUAGCAAACAGGAUUAGAUACCCUGGUAGUCCACGCCCUAAACGAUGUCAACUGGUUGUUGGGGGAGUGAAAUCCCUUAGUAACGAAGCUAACGCGUGAAGUUGACCGCCUGGGGAGUACGGUCGCAAGAUUAAAACUCAAAGGAAUUGACGGGGACCCGCACAAGCGGUGGAUGAUGUGGAUUAAUUCGAUGCAACGCGAAAAACCUUACCUACCCUUGACAUGUCCAGGAUCCUGCAGAGAUGCCGGGAGUGCCCGAAAGGGAAUUGGAACACAGGUGCUGCAUGGCUGUCGUCAGCUCGUGUCGUGAGAUGUUGGGUUAAGUCCCGCAACGAAGCGCAACCCUUAUCAUAGUGCUACGCAAGGCACUCUAAUGAGACUGCUGUGACAACCGAGAAGGUGGGAUGACGUCAGUCCUCAUCCCCUUAUGGUUAGGCCUUCACACCGUUCAUACAAUGGUUCGGGUUACGAAG